rnacentral:tRNA from 1 species
CUUGAGGAUGGGUUCGAGUCCCUUCUCUCNAG